UACAUGCAGUUGUCGGAGCAAUUGCCUUACCAUUUUCUCACCAGAAACUGUGUGUUGACUUGGAAGUGAAAGGGGGAGUAGGGACCAAGGGAAGAUGGCAGAGAGGAGGUGAGUUUCAGCAGGUUAAGCGUCAGCCGUGAGAAGACCAUUGGACUUCCUAGAGAAUUAUUCAUCCUUCCUCGGGCAAACGCUGCCUCCGAAAGGCUCUUGAGCUGCAAGGGGAUAUGUUGGCCCAAGCUGGUGAAGUAUUUGAACGCACAUAUGGGUGAUAGAAAUGGACUUCAACCACAGAGGACCACGGACGGCCCCAGUCUCAGAGCGCCUCUCUUCACAUAGAGUCAGUGUUUCAAGCCCGGAUAAGACAGAGGAGAGGAUUCAGUAAAUUAAAAGCCCAGUGGAAUAAGCAAGAAGUGGGAGAAGAGAAGCCCAUCUACACCGACAUCUACCCCCCAUCAUUACUACCACCAGCCCUCACUCAGGAUGUGGAGGGUGAAGAUGGACUGAAAACAGAAGGAUCUGUUGGAAGUCUGCUUGAGAAAUAGCGAACUCCUCCCCAGACGCCUCUAUCCCACUCCAUGCAGUUGGUCAACUGCCCUUCUUCUACCCCAGCAGAAGCCAGGAGACUCCUUCUCUUUGGAGCGGGACAUGGAGGGCAUUCAGACUGGAGGCUAUCAGGCUAAGUCGAAGGCAAAGGUAUCAUGCUGAAAAUAACGAUUAAGUGGAAAGUGACAUUCUUUACGUUGAAACCACUAAGCCUUCUUUCCCAUGGUGCUUCCAGAAUCCUGAUAUCUAGGCAGAAGUUUGGAAGAGUCUUUUCUAGGUCAUAUGAUUGGCCUAAGGGGACAAUCCUCAAACAAACCACCCCGCCGGCUAACAAUCCACAUGCUCCAAGCCCCUCCCAUAUGCACAAAGUUCCAAUCAUCUUUUUAUAGCUCAAAUAUUAAAUAUGAGCAGACAAUAUGGAUCACCAGGCAUUUGAGCACAUCUUCUUAUGUAAAAGAGAGGGGUCCAAUCCAACGAAGAGGAAAAAAAAAGUAGAGUAAAUGACUGUGCUAUAAGAAAACAAUGUCAGAUAGUCACUGAUAUCCUAAGAAAAAUCAAGCAUUCAUGACAUAAGAAUAGGAAUUUACUCUUUUAAAAAGGAAUAUAGGAUAUUCAGAGACUAAAAAGGAGAUCUUGUAUAUUAAAAUAUAUAAUAGCAGAAAUAAAAACAAAAUUGAAAGAAUCAAAUUGUAUUUUAAAAAUUGUUUCAACAUUAUUAAGAUCAUAUUCACUAUUUGCUGUGUCUAUUAGGAUGUAAAAUACUUUGGGGCGCCUGGGUGGCUCUCA